GACGAACGCUGGCGGCGUGCUUAACACAUGCAAGUCGAACGGAAAGGCCCUGCUUUUGUGGGGUGCUCGAGUGGCGAACGGGUGAGUAACACGUGAGUAACCUGCCCUUGACUUUGGGAUAACUUCAGGAAACUGGGGCUAAUACCGGAUAGGAGCUCCUGCUGCAUGGUGGGGGUUGGAAAGUCUCGGCGGGUGGGGAUGGACUCGCGGCUUAUCAGCUUGUUGGUGGGGUAGUGGCUUACCAAGGCUUUGACGGAUAGCCGGCCUGAGAGGGUGACCGGCGACAUUGGGACUAAGAUACGGCCCAGACGCCUACGGGAGGCAGCAGGGGGGAAUAUUGCACAAUGGGCGGAAGCCUGAUGCAGCAACGCCGCGUGCGGGAUGACGGCCUUCGGGUUGUGAACCGCUUUCGCCUGUGACGAAGCGUGAGUGACGGUAAUGGGUAAAGAAGCACCGGCUAACUACGUG
rnacentral:rRNA from 1 species